UGGCGGACGGGGGAGUAACGCGUGGGUAACCUGCCUCAUACAGGGGGAUAACAGUUAGAAAUGGCUGCUAAUACCGCAUAAGACCACAGCACCGCAUGGUGCAGGGGUAAAAACUCCGGUGGUAUGAGAUGGACCCGCGUCUGGUUAGCUGGUUGGUGGGGUAACGGCCUACCAAGGCGACGAUCAGUAGCCGACCUGAGAGGGUGACCGGCCACAUUGGGACUGAGACACGGUCCAA
rnacentral:rRNA from 1 species